GACGAACGCUGGCGGCGUGCCUAAUACAUGCAAGUCGAACGCAGUGGGGACGGGGUAGUAACAAGUUGGUAACCUCCCAUCAGAGGGGAUAACACUUGGAAACAGGGGCUAAACCGAUACUGCUGGAUGGACCAGGGGUGCAUUAGCUAGUUGGGGAGGUAACGGCUGACCAAGGCCACGAUGCAUACCGGACCUGAAGGGGGGAGCGGCCACAUGGGGACUGGGACACGGCCCAGACUCCUACGGGAGGCAGCAGUAGGGAAUUUUCGGCAAUGGACGAAAGUCUGACCUCGCAACGCCGCGGGAGUGAAGAAGGUUUUCGGUUCGUAAAACUCUGUUGUUGGAGAAGCGGUAUCUAACCAGAAAGCCACGGCUAACUACGUGCCAGCAGCCGCGGUAAUUC
rnacentral:rRNA from 1 species